CCUACGGGCGGCAGCAGUGGGGAAUAUUGCACAAUGGGGGAAACCCUGAUGCAGCGACGCCGCGUGGGUGACGACGUAUUUCGGUAUGUAAAGCCCUAUCAGCAGGGAAGAAGCUGACGGUACCUCUUGAAUAAGCCACGGCUAACUACGUGCCAGCAGCCGCGGUACUCCGUAGGUGGCAAGCGUUGUCCGGAUUUACUGGGUGUAAAGGGCGUGUAGCCGGGCUGACAAGUCAGAUGUGAAAUUCCGUGGUUCAACCCCGGACCUGCAUUUGAAACUGUUGGUCUUGAGUAUCGGAGAGGCAGGCGGAAGUCCUAGUGGAGCGGGGAAAUGCGUAGAUAUUAGGAGGAACACCAGUGGCGAAGGCGGCCUGCUGGACGACAACUGACGGUGAGGCGCGAAAGCGUGGGGAGCAAACAGGAUUAGAUACCCGGGUAGUC
rnacentral:rRNA from 1 species